rnacentral:rRNA from 1 species
CUACGUGCCAGCAGCCGCGGUAAUACGGAAGGUCCGGGCGUUAUCCGGAUUUAUUGGGUUUAAAGGGAGCGUAGGCUGGAGAUUAAGUGUGUUGUGAAAUGUAGACGCUCAACGUCUGACUUGCAGCGCAUACUGGUUUCCUUGAGUACGCACAACGUUGGCGGAAUUCGUCGUGUAGCGGUGAAAUGCUUAGAUAUGACGAAGAACUCCGAUUGCGAAGGCAGCUGACGGGAGCGCAACUGACGCUGAAGCUCGAAGGUGCGGGUACCGAACAGGAUUAGAUACCCUGGUAGUCCGCACAGUAAACGAUGGAUGCCCGCUGUUGGUGCCUGGUAUCAGCGGCUAAGCGAAAGCAUUAAGCAUCCCACCUGGGGAGUACGCCGGCAACGGUGAAACUCAAAGGAAUUGACGGGGGCCCGCACAAGCGGAGGAACAUGUGGUUUAAUUCGAUGAUACGCGAGGAACCUUACCCGGGCUUGAA